rnacentral:rRNA from 1 species
AACGAACGCUGGCGGCAUGCCUAACACAUGCAAGUCGAACGAGACCUUCGGGUCUAGUGGCGCACGGGUGCGUAACGCGUGGGAACCUGCCCUUAGGUUCGGAAUAACUCCCCGAAAGGGGUGCUAAUACCGGAUAAUGUCUUCGGACCAAAGAUUUAUCGCCUUUGGAUGGGCCCGCGUUGGAUUAGCUAGUUGGUAGGGUAAAAGCCUGCCAAGGCGACGAUCCAUAGCUGGUCUGAGAGGAUGAUCAGCCGCACUGGGACUGAGACACGGCCCAGACUCCUACGGGAGGCAGCAGUGGGGAAUAUUGGACGAUGGGCGAAAGCCUGAUCCAGCAAUGCCGCGUGAGUGAUGAAGGCCUUAGGGUUGUAAAGCUCUUUUACCCGGGAUGAUAAUGACAGUACCGGGAGAAUAAGCUCCGGCUAACUCCGUG